rnacentral:rRNA from 1 species
AGAUCCUGAAACCGUGUGCCUACAAAUAGUCAGAGCCCGUUAAUGGGUGAUGGCGUGCCUUUUGUAGAAUGAACCGGCGAGUUACGAUCCCGUGCGAGGUUAAGCUGAAGAGGCGGAGCCGCAGCGAAAGCGAGUCUGAAUAGGGCGUUUAGUACGUGGUCGUAGACCCGAAACCAGGUGAUCUACCCAUGUCCAGGGUGAAGUUCAGGUAACACUGAAUGGAGGCCCGAACCCACGCACGUUGAAAAGUGCGGGGAUGAGGUGUGGGUAGCGGAGAAAUUCCAAUCGAACCUGGAGAUAGCUGGUUCUCCCCGAAAUAGCUUUAGGGCUAGCCUUAAGUGUAAGAGUCUUGGAGGUAGAGCACUGAUUGAACUAGGGGUCCUCAUCGGAUUACCGAAUUCAGUCAAACUCCGAAUGCCAAUGACUUAUCCUUAGGAGUCAGACUGCGAGUGAUAAGAUCCGUAGUCAAGAGGGAAACAGCCCAGAUCGCCAGCUAAGGUCCCAAAGUGUGUAUUAAGUGGAAAAGGAUGUGGAGUUGCUUAGACAACUAGGAUGUUGGCUUAGAAGCAGCCACCAUUUAAAGAGUGCGUAAUAGCUCACUAGUCGAGUGACUCUGCGCCGAAAAUGUACCGGGGCUAAAUACACCACCGAAGCUGCGAAUUGAUACCAAUGGUAUCAGUGGUAGGGGAGCGUUCUAAGUGCAGUGAAGUCAGACCGGAAGGACUGGUGGAGCGCUUAGAAGUGAGAAUGCCGGUAUGAGUAGCGAAAGACGGGUGAGAAUCCCGUCCACCGAAUGCCUAAGGUUUCCUGAGGAAGGCUCGUCCGCUCAGGGUUAGUCAGGACCUAAGCCGAGGCCGACAGGCGUAGGCGAUGGACAACAGGUUGAUAUUCCUGUACCACCUCUUUAUCGUUUGAGCAAUGGAGGGACGCAGAAGGAUAGAAGAAGCGUGCGAUUGGUUGUGCACGUCCAAGCAGUUAGGCUGAUAAGUAGGCAAAUCCGCUUAUCGUGAAGGCUGAGCUGUGAUGGGGAAGCUCCUUAUGGAGCGAAGUCUUUGAUUCCCCGCUGCCAAGAAAAGCUUCUAGCGAGAUAAAAGGUGCCUGUACCGCAAACCGACACAGGUAGGCGAGGAGAGAAUCCUAAGGUGUGCGAGAGAACUCUGGUUAAGGAACUCGGCAAAAUGACCCCGUAACUUCGGGAGAAGGGGUGCUUUCUUAACGGAAAGCCGCAGUGAAUAGGCCCAAGCGACUGUUUAGCAAAAACACAGCUCUCUGCGAAGCCGUAAGGCGAAGUAUAGGGGGUGACACCUGCCCGGUGCUGGAAGGUUAAGGAGAGGGGUUAGCGUAAGCGAAGCUCUGAACUGAAGCCCCAGUAAACGGCGGCCGUAACUAUAACGGUCCUAAGGUAGCGAAAUUCCUUGUCGGGUAAGUUCCGACCCGCACGAAAGGUGUAACGAUUUGGGCACUGUCUCAACCAGAGACUCGGUGAAAUUAUAGUACCUGUGAAGAUGCAGGUUACCCGCGACAGGACGGAAAGACCCCGUGGAGCUUUACUGUAGCCUGAUAUUGAAUUUUGGUACAGUUUGUACAGGAUAGGCGGGAGCCAUUGAAACCGGAGCGCUAGCUUCGGUGGAGGCGCUGGUGGGAUACCGCCCUGACUGUAUUGAAAUUCUAACCUACGGGUCUUAUCGACCCGGGAGACAGUGUCAGGUGGGCAGUUUGACUGGGGCGGUCGCCUCCUAAAGUGUAACGGAGGCGCCCAAAGGUUCCCUCAGAAUGGUUGGAAAUCAUUCGUAGAGUGCAAAGGCAUAAGGGAGCUUGACUGCGAGACCUACAAGUCGAGCAGGGACGAAAGUCGGGCUUAGUGAUCCGGUGGUUCCGCAUGGAAGGGCCAUCGCUCAACGGAUAAAAGCUACCCCGGGGAUAACAGGCUUAUCUCCCCCAAGAGUCCACAUCGACGGGGAGGUUUGGCACCUCGAUGUCGGCUCAUCGCAUCCUGGGGCUGUAGUCGGUCCCAAGGGUUGGGCUGUUCGCCCAUUAAAGCGGUACGCGAGCUGGGUUCAGAACGUCGUGAGACAGUUCGGUCCCUAUCCGUCGUGGGCGUAGGAAAUUUGAGAGGAGCUGUCCUUAGUACGAGAGGACCGGGAUGGACGCACCGCUGGUGUACCAGUUGUUCUGCCAAGGGCAUAGCUGGGUAGCUAUGUGCGGAAGGGAUAAGUGCUGAAAGCAUCUAAGCAUGAAGCCCCCCUCAAGAUGAGAUUUCCCAUAGCGUAAGCUAGUAAGAUCCCUGAAAGAUGAUCAGGUUGAUAGGUUCGAGGUGGAAGCAUGGUGACAUGUGGAGCUGACGAAUACUAAUAGAUCGAGGACUUAACCAU